rnacentral:lncRNA from 1 species
AUGGCCAAGUCCAAGAACCAUACCACACACAACCAGUCCCACAAAUGGCACAGAAAUGGCAUCAAGAAACCCCAGUCACAAAGAUACAAAUCUCUUAAGGGGGUUGACCUCAAGUUUCUGGGGAACAUGCUCUUUGCCAAGAAGUACAAGAAGAAAGGCCCGAAGAAGAUGCAGGCCAACAAUGCAAAGGCAGUGAGUGUGCGCGCAGAGGCCAUCAAGGCCCUUGUGAAGCCUCAGGCCAUCAAGCCUAAGGUGCCAAAGGGAAGAAGCCACAAACUCAGCUAUCUGGCUUUCAUUGCUCAACCCAAGCUUGGGAAGUGGAUUUGGAGCUUCAUGGCCAAGGUCAGAGGCUCUGUCAACCAAAGCCCAAGGUUCAAACCAAGGCAGAGGCCAAAGCUCCAGCUAAGGCUCAGGCUUCAGCUCCAGCCCAGGCUUCCAAAGGUGCCCAGGUCCCAGUGAAGGCUCCAUAG